rnacentral:rRNA from 1 species
GAUGAACGCUGGCGGCGUGCCUAAUACAUGCAAGUCGAGCGAACAGACGAGGAGCUUGCUCCUCUGACGUUAGCGGCGGACGGGUGAGUAACACGUGGAUAACCUACCUAUAAGACUGGGAUAACUUCGGGAAACCGGAGCUAAUACCGGAUAAUAUAUUGAACCGCAUGGUUCAAUAGUGAAAGACGGUUUUGCUGUCACUUAUAGAUGGAUCCGCGCCGCAUUAGCUAGUUGGUAAGGUAACGGCUUACCAAGGCAACGAUGCGUAGCCGACCUGAGAGGGUGAUCGCCCACACGGGAACUGAGACACGGCCCAGACCCCUAGGGGAGGCAGAAGUGGGGAAUUUUCCGCAAGGGGCGAAAGCCUGAGGGAGAAACGCCGGGGGGGUGAUGAAGGUUUUCGGAUCGUAAAACUUUUUUUUUGGGGAAAAAAAAAUGUGAAAGUAACUAUGCCCGUCUUGACGGUACCUAACCAGAAAGCCACGGCUAACUACGU